CACGGUAAACGAUGGAUGCCCGCUGUAUGCGAUAUAGUGUAUGCGGCCAAGCGAAAGCGUUAAGCAUCCCACCUGGGGAGUACGCCGGCAACGGUGAAACUCAAAGGAAUUGACGGGGGCCCGCACAAGCGGAGGAACAUGUGGUUUAAUUCGAUGAUACGCGAGGAACCUUACCCGGGCUUGAACUGCAACCGAACGAUGGAGAGAUCCUGAGGCCCUUCGGGGCGGUUGUGGAGGUGCUGCAUGGUUGUCGUCAGCUCGUGCCGUGAGGUGUCGGCUUAAGUGCCAUAACGAGCGCAACCCCUGCCUAUAGUUGCCAUCAGGUCAUGCUGGGCACUCUGUGGGGACUGCCACCGUAAGGUGUGAGGAAGGUGGGGAUGACGUCAAAUCAGCACGGCCCUUACGUCCGGGGCUACACACGUGUUACAAUGGGUGGUACAGCGAGUAGGCCGUCUGCAAAUGCGGUCGAAUCAUGAAAGCCUCCCUCAGUUCGGAUUGGGGUCUGCAACCCGACC
rnacentral:rRNA from 1 species